rnacentral:rRNA from 1 species
CAGUAGCCACGGGAAUACGGAGGGUGCAAGCGUUAUCCGGAUUCACUGGGUUUAAAGGGUGCGUAGGCGGAUCUGUAAGUCAGUGGUGAAAUCUCCAGGCUUAACCUGGAAACUGCCGUUGAUACUAUAGGUCUUGAAUUUUGUGGAGGUUAGCGGAAUAUGUCAUGUAGCGGUGAAAUGCAUAGAUAUGACAUAGAACACCAAUUGCGAAGGCAGCUGGCUACACAACUAUUGACGCUGAGGCACGAAAGCGUGGGGAUCAAACAGGAUUAGAUACCCGGGUAGUCCCUGUCUCUUAUAC